rnacentral:rRNA from 1 species
CCUACGGGGUGCUGCAGUGAGGAAUAUUGGUCAAUGGGCGCAAGCCUGAACCAGCCAAGUCGCGUGAGGGAUGACGGUCCUAUGGAUUGUAAACCUCUUUUGUCGGGGAGCAAGGCCCGCCACGUGUGGCGGGAAGGAGAGUACCCGAAGAAAAAGCAUCGGCUAACUCCGUGCCAGCAGCCGCGGUAAUACGGAGGAUGCGAGCGUUAUCCGGAUUUAUUGGGUUUAAAGGGUGCGUAGGCGGAAGGUUAAGUCAGCGGUAAAAUGUCGGUGCUCAACACCGGCCUGCCGUUGAAACUGGUCUUCUUGAGUGAGCGAGAAGUAUGCGGAAUGCGUGGUGUAGCGGUGAAAUGCAUAGAUAUCACGCAGAAAUCCGAUUGCGAAGGCAGCAUACCGGCGCUCAACUGACGCUGAGGCACGAAAGCGUGGGGAUCGAACAGGAUUAGAUACCCUAGUAGUC